rnacentral:rRNA from 1 species
AGCAGCCGCGGUAAUUCCAGCUCCAAUAGCGUAUAUUAAAGUUGUUGCAGUUAAAAAGCUCGUAGUUGAAUUUCGGGAUUGACAUGUUGGUCGUGCCUUAAGGGGUAUGAACUGACAUUGUCGAUUUCUCACCUUCUGGAGAAUCACGAUGCUCUUAAUUGGGUGUCGUGUGGAUCCAGGACCUUUACCUUGAAAAAAUUAGAGUGUUUAAAGCAGGCAUUUUUGCUCGAAUACAUUAGCAUGGAAUAAUAAAAUAGGACGGCUUGGUUCUAUUUUGUUGGUUUCUAGGAUCACCGUAAUGAUUAAUAGGGAUAGUUGGG